rnacentral:tRNA from 1 species
ACUUAAAAUCCGUCGAUUUUCAAAAUCGG